rnacentral:rRNA from 1 species
GAUGAACGCUGGCGGCGUGCCUAAUACAUGCCAGUCGAGCGAACGGACGAGAAGCUUGCUUCUCUGAUGUUAGCGGCGGACGGGUGAGUAACACGUGGAUAACCUACCUAUAAGACUGGGAUAACUUCGGGAAACCGGAGCUAAUACCGGAUGAUAUUUUGAACCGCAUGGUUCAAAAGUGAAAGACGGUCUUGCUGUCACUUAUAGAUGGAUCCGCGCUGCAUUAGCUAGUUGGUAAGGUAACGGCUUACCAAGGCAACGAUGCAUAGCCGACCUGAGAGGGUGAUCGGCCACACUGGAACUGAGACACGGUCCAGACUCCUACGGGAGGCAGCAGUAGGGAAUCUUCCGCAAUGGGCGAAAGCCUGACGGAGCAACGCCGCGUGAGUGAUGAAGGUCUUCGGAUCGUAAAACUCUGUUAUUAGGGAAGAACAUAUGUGUAAGUAACUGUGCACAUCUUGACGGUACCUAAUCAGACAGCCACGGCUAACUACGUG